AGGUUCUUGAUGGUAAGCCAUACAAUAGAAGAUGUGAUGUUUGCAUCUUUGGGAUAUGUUUAAGGGAGAUUUAUUGUUGUGCUAUGCCUUUUCCUGAUCUCAGCUUUGCUGAUGUUUCUUCUGCCGUUGUUCGUCAGAAUAUGUGACUGAAAUACCGAGAUGUUGUCCGACAACAGAGUUAGCAUGCGGCGAUCAAUCAAUUAUAGAUAAAUUUGGAUAGAAAAAAAGAGACCAAUUGUUAGAAACCUAUCAAAAAAAUCACUAUCCGAGUUGGAAUAACCAGCUUUUGAUGUUUGACAAUUUAUAGAAGUAUAUGAGAAACAAUUAUAUUUUAUCGUUACGACCUUAAAAACAGUAUAGCACAUGUUACUACUACAAGCAGAUAAUGAAGUUUGUUUCAUAACUUAGCAAA